rnacentral:rRNA from 1 species
GACAGAGGGGGCAAGCGUUGCUCGGAAUUACUGGGCGUAAAGGGCGCGUAGGCGGGAUGGCAAGUCGGUCGUGAAAUCCCUCGGCUCAACCGAGGAACGUCGAUCGAUACUGCUGUUCUUGAGGAUUGCAGAGGAGACUGGAAUUCCCGGUGUAGCGGUGAAAUGUGUAGAGAUCGGGAGGAACACCGGUGGCGAAGGCGGGUCUCUGGGCCGUAACUGACGCUGAGGAGCGAAAGCAUGGGGAGCGAACAGGG